CACGUGACCUCUGGUUGGCACACAAACUAAAGAAGAGGUUAUGUUUGUGUCUAUUUUUCAAUGAUUUUUCAUUGUUUAUCGUCGUAUUUUGGAUUCAUUUGGAUUUCGUUUCCUGUUUUUGUGAACUUUAUAAACUUUACCACAAUGCGAACUGAUUAUUUAAGGAAAUUAUUAUUGGAAACUCCAGAUGUUGCGAGAAAGAUAUUUAUUGAAGCUGAAAAUAAUUGGGGAUUUAGAUCCAUACGGAAUUCAGUCAGAAUUGGAUUUUACAGUAAAGUGCAGUCCAUCAAGUUACUAUUAUAGAUAUGUAUUUAUACAGAUCUGGUGGAGUCUCACAGUUGCUACUCUAAGCAGCAGAUGAAAGCAUACAAAAGCCUUCAGGCACAUAAAUAUUUUACAGCUGGAUUUGUUUUGAAUGGAGUAAAAAUUGUUAAUGAUUUCCUGAUUUCCAUAUUAUUGUUGGAAAGGUGAAGCAUUUCCAAAAAGCUAAUGCUAAACGACUAAAUGCUUGGGUGGGGUGAUAGCCAGUUCUGAUGACAUAGCAAAUGCACAUUGUAUGCGUAUGGCCGGUAAUAGUGAAGUCUGCAGCCAUAUUGCAGCAAUCCUAUUUUUAGCUGAGUAUGCCCAGAGCAAGACAGACGAAGAAGAACCCAAUGCAUGUACAUAUGUUACAGCUACAUGGUUUGGAGAUAGCAACAUAUGCAUUCUCUGAUGAAAAACUAAUGAGUUUUGAAACUGUUCGGUCAGAGUGCUUGUUGCGCUCACUAAACGAACUGAAAUAUAAGAAGUCUUUGGCAUUGUGUUGCAGCGAUAUGAAAAUGGUUAUUCAUUUUUAAUUAUAAUGUACUUCUUCAUCAUGAGUAAUUAUGUAUUGGUCUUUUAGAUGUGUAUUUAUUUUUGUAAUUAGUAUCAACUUGUAAUGAUAAUAUACAUUUAUCGUUUAAGGUACGACUAUGUUUUGACUCUAAAAUAAAUGUUUUAAAAAUCGAA